GGAAGGAUGGCAGAGUGGUCGAUUGCACCGGUCUUGAAAACCGGCGAUGGGAAACUAUCCGUGGGUUCGAAUCCCACUCCUUCCG
rnacentral:tRNA from 1 species